GGAUUAGAUACCCUGGUAGUCCACGCUGUAAACGAUGAGAACUUGCUGUUAGACACAUAAAGGUGUUUAGUAGCGUAGCUAACGCAUUAAGUUCUCCGCCUGGGGAGUACGACCGCAAGGUUAAAACUCAAAGGAAUUGACGGGGGCCCGCACAAGCGGUGGAGCAUGUGGUUUAAUUCGAUGCAACGCGAAGAACCUUACCUACUCUUGCAUACCUGGAACUUUGUAGAGAUACGAAGGUGCCGAAAGGAACCAGGAUACAGAUGCUGCAUGGCUGUCGUCAGCUCGUGCCG
rnacentral:rRNA from 1 species